AAGAGAUUGGUUGUUGCCAUGUUUCACAGGUGGUCUUGAACUCCUGGGAGCAAGUGAUCGCCUAUCUCAGCCUCCCAAAGUGCUGGGAUUAUAGGCGUGAGCCACCGUGCCUGGCUGAAAUAUUUUAACCUAUCUGAGCUUCAGUUUCCUGCCUAUAAAAUGAAAAUAACAAAACACACCGAUUAAACAUUGAGAUAAUGCAUGUAAGCUACUUGGCACAGUACUGAGCACAUAGUAAAAGCUCAAAAAUCAGUAGUCAUCAUCAUCGUUACUUUUUGACUUGUUCUCGUGUUCUUUUUGAAAUUCAAAAUAUCCAGCUGGCUUGAAGAUAGUUGUCACGUUUUAUAGUCAGCUAUCAUAGACUGAGCUAUGUCAUAUGUAAUAGUACAGUGUGUUGAAAGAGUAAUUAUUCAGAAGCAUUUUCAGGUAACCAGUGACAUUGAUUUUCAGAACUAGUAUGGAGGCUUGAGAGGCUCAGGUGUAAAAGGUAAUUUAGUACUUAGAGGGGGUUGAGUAGUAACAGAAAGUAGUUGUCAGACCACAGGUAUAAACAUAGGUGAGGGCACAGAAUCAUUGAUUUGCCUUGAUUUUCACAUAUUCAAGAAGAAAGUAACUUUGUGAAUAAAUAAUGCGUUCAUAAAGGUAUAAAACUCAGGAGGUUCAAGUGUCCCAUCCAUCUUAACCCUCAGCCUCCCACGACUCCAUCUGUAGAGGCAACCAGUGUUGAGAAAAAUUGUGUGGAUAAGCAUUAAGUAUUAAUGUUUUUACCUGGUUUUUGUACACACACUACCUUAUUUUUCCUUUACCAGUAUGUUUUAGAGGUCAUUCAGAUCAUAUAUAAAAUAUUCACAUUUUCUCUCCCCCCCACCUCCCUCUUUGGUUUUCCAAAGGUACCUUCAUAAUAUAAAGAGGUUUACUGAAAAAUUUCAGAAAUUGUUUCAGCUGCAUCUCUGUUCUUUUCAUGGCAUGGAAUACAUGCAAUGAAGGAAAAUACCGAUGGCAUCAUUUCAUAGACAUACUCAAAGGAUGACAAGCACUUAAGGACCAGCACAGCACAGCGGUGAACUCUCAAGACAGUAUGACAGUAAUGAGAUGACGAAGGCACAUCUUGUUUCCUGGAAAAUUCUGCAUGAUAGGAGUCUGACAAAGCAAAGAACCAUGAUGUGUCUUAGAGAACCAGAAUGGUCAGAGACUCUGAUGAUCCCCUGGUCCACACGUGACUGAGAGUUAAUACCUUAGGUCACUGUUCUCAGAACCUGGAUAUUUAUAUGCAUGUGCACCUCAGUGACUGAUCCAUUCUCAGUUUUCAGGUCCAUUGCUUUCACAUUUGAAAUAGUCAAGGAGCAUCUUUAUGACUGGGGCUGAGCUUCUGCAUUCAUGUACAGCCCUCUGCCUGCCAGCAGUGCCUUGCAUUUGUGAUCCUACAAAGAGCCUGUGGACUUAAUGGUUUACUGUAUAGGGAAAGGCUUGACUUUGUGUCUUCUACUUAAGAAGCUUGAACUUUUUACCAAAUAUUCGUACUCCUUUUCCUGAAAAUACUGAUCUAGGCUACAGAUCCAUCUCUUAACCAUAUUUGAAAAAUUGAAAUAAUAUCUUCUGCCAUAACUUGAAA